AUAUUACUCCCUCCGUCCGAAAAUACUUGUCAUCAAAAUGGAUAAAAAGAGAUGUAUCUAGAACUAAAAUACAUCUAGAUACAUCUCCUUUUAUCUAUUUUGAUGACAAGUAUUUCCGGACGGAGGGAGUACAUU
rnacentral:pre_miRNA from 1 species